rnacentral:sRNA from 1 species
GCUGGGCAUGAUAGCUCAUGCCUGUAGUCCUAGCUACUCAGGAGGCUGAGGUGGAAGGAUUGCUUGAGCCCAGGGGGUUGAGGCUGCAGUGAGCCAUGAUCAUGCCACUGCACUUCUGCCUGGGCAAUACAGCGAGACCCUGUCUCAA